GAUGAACGCUAGCGGCAGGCCUAAUACAUGCAAGUCGAACGGUGUCUUCGGACAUAGUGGCGCACGGGUGCGUAACACGUAUGCAACCUACCUUACAUUGGGGGAUAGCCUUUCGAAAGGGAGAUUAAUACCGCAUAAGACAGUAGCUGGGCAUCCAGCAGCUGUUAAAGAUUUAUCGAUGUAAGCUGGGCAUGCGUCCAAUUAGCUAGUUGGUGAGGUAACGGCUCACCAAGGCAAUGAUUGGUAGGGGAACUGAGAGGUCAAUCCCCAACACUGUCACUGAGGUGCGAGCCAGACUCCUACGGGAGGCAGCAGUAGGGAAUAUUGGGCAAUGGACGCAAGUCUGACCCAGCCAUGCCGCGUGCAGGAUGAAGGCGUUAUGCGUUGUAAACUGCUUUUAUACAGGAAGAAACGACUCUUGCGAGAGGCAUUGACGGUACUGUAUGAAUAAGCACCGGCUAACUCCGUGCCAGCCGCCGCUGUAAAAC
rnacentral:rRNA from 1 species